GAUGAACGCUGGCGGCGUGCUUAACACAUGCAAGUCGAACGAUCAAGCCCAGCUUUCUGGGUGCUGUAGUGACGAACGGGUGAGUAACACGUAAGUAACCUGCCCUUCACUCUGGGAUAAGCCUGUUAAACUGGGUCUAAUACUGGAUAUGACUUCUCUUCGCAUGGUUGGUGGUGGAGAGAUUUAUUGGUCUUGUAUGGACUCGCGGCCUAUCAGCUUGUUGGUGGGGUAAUGGUUCACCAAGGCGACGCCGGGUAGCCGACCUGUGAGGGUGACCGGCGACACGGGGACUGCGAGAGGGAGCAGACGCGUACGGGAGGCAGCAGUGGGGAACAUUGCAGAAUGAGGGCAAGCGUGAUGUAGCGACGCCGCGUGAGGGAUGCCGGCCUACGGGUGGUAAACCUCUGUCAGUAGGGAAGAAGAGGGAGUGACGGUACCUGCAGAAGAAGCGCCGGCUAACUACGUG
rnacentral:rRNA from 1 species